rnacentral:misc_RNA from 1 species
AAGUCGUAACAAGGUAACCGUAGGUGAACCUGCGGUUGGAUCAUUACUAAAAGAAGGACUUUAGAGUCCCCUUUAAAAAUGCUAGUGCUUGCUUAAAAAACGAGCCUAGUUAACCCUUGUGUGAACCGUUUAUUGUCUCUGGUAGGAUUACUUUUAUUUAAAGUGCCUACCAGUAAAUUUAUUAAACCCCGUUUUUUAAACAAAGUCUUAUCAAAUAUAAAAAUUUGAAACAACUUUUGACAACGGAUCUCUUGGCUCUC